rnacentral:tRNA from 4 species
GGGCCGUUGGGGUAGCUUGGUAUCCUUCGAGCAUCGGGUGCUCGGAACCUCGGUUCAAAUCCGGGACGGCCCA